AUGAACGCUGGCGGCGUGCCUAAUACAUGCAAGUCGAGCGAACAGGUAAGGAGCUUGCUCCUUUGACGUUAGCGGCGGACGGGUGAGUAACACGUGGGUAACCUACCUAUAAGACUGGGAUAACUUCGGGAAACCGGAGCUAAUACCGGAUAAUAUUUCGAACCGCAUGGUUCGAUAGUGAAAGAUGGUUUUGCUAUCACUUAUAGAUGGACCCGCGCCGUAUUAGCUAGUUGGUAAGGUAACGGCUUACCAAGGCGACGAUACGUAGCCGACCUGAGAGGGUGAUCGGCCACACUGGAACUGAGACACGGUCCAGACUCCUACGGGAGGCAGCAGUAGGGAAUCUUCCGCAAUGGGCGAAAGCCUGACGGAGCAACGCCGCGUGAGUGAUGAAGGUCUUCGGAUCGUAAAACUCUGUUAUUAGGGAAGAACAUACGUGUAAGUAACUGUGCACGUCUUGACGGUACCUAAUCAGAAAGCCACGGCUAACUACGUG
rnacentral:rRNA from 1 species